rnacentral:rRNA from 1 species
UACGUAGGGGGCAAGCGUUGUUCGGAAUUACUGGGCGUAAAGCGCACGUAGGCGGCUUUGUAAGUUAGAGGUGAAAGCCCGGAGCUCAACUCCGGAACUGCCUUUAAGACUGCAUCGCUUGAACGUCGGAGAGGUAAGUGGAAUUCCGAGUGUAGAGGUGAAAUUCGUAGAUAUUCGGAAGAACACCAGUGGCGAAGGCGACUUGCUGGACGACUGUUGACGCUGAGGUGCGAAAGCGUGGGGAGCAAACAGG